rnacentral:rRNA from 1 species
ACGGAAGGCAGCAGUGGGGAAUAUUGGACAAUGGGGGAAACCCUGAUCCAGCGACGCCGCGUGAGUGAAGAAGUAUUUCGGUAUGUAAAGCUCUAUCAGCAGGGAAGAUAAUGACGGUACCUGACUAAGAAGCCCCGGCUAACUACGUGCCAGCAGCCGCGGUAAUACGUAGGGGGCAAGCGUUAUCCGGAUUUACUGGGUGUAAAGGGAGCGUAGACGGCAAGACAAGUCUGGAGUGAAAUUCCGGGGCUCAACCCCGGAACUGCUUUGGAAACUGUUUAGCUGGAGUAUCGGAGAGGUAAGCGGAAUUCCUAGUGUAGCGGUGAAAUGCGUAGAUAUUAGGAGGAACACCAGUGGCGAAGGCGGCUUACUGGACGAUAACUGACGUUGAGGCUCGAAAGCGUGGGGAGCAAACAGGAUUAGAUACCCUGGUA